UACACACCUCCUUGGCAGUGCAGGAUUUCAAUCACAGCAGCUAGUAAUCCCAGAGCCGUACGUCUCCCUGCCAGCACUCCAGCUCCCGCCAUAUCGCCCGAGCCCCAGCACAGAAGGAGACAGAUGGGAGGGAGUUUUCAAGUGUGCGGCAAUUCAGAUAAAGCAUGAGGUGAGUGUCUGCAGGAGAUAUCUUACACACACGCACAACAAGCCCUCCCCCGGGGACCGGCUGGCUCUUGUGUGUGCUAUGCCGUCUGCUAGGUGCCUCAUGACUCCUGUCUUGGAGAUGCCGAGAACCAAGAAGGCUGCUGGAGCCUGAAGCGCUUUCUGGAGGCAGAUGGCGCAUACAGGCCUAAAGGUCGUAGAUUGGCCCUCGAGUCCUUCAGUCCAUCAAUUCUCGUGUCCAUCUGCUCCAAGAAGAGGGAGGAGCCUUCAAAUGGGAGGUCCCUGGAUGGACUCUUGGACCUUGUGGGGAAGGCCAGAUGAUUGGAGCCAGGAACUGUGCCUCAUGGAGACCACAGAGGCCAUUGUCCAGGCCGCCAAGUCAGCAACCUCCAGAGCUGCCUGGAGAGAAUCCUAGCCAAUUUUUACCCCUCUUCUAAGAGCACUGUGAACUCCUGUCUCGACUCUUGGGGCAGGGAGUCUUUCAAUUUAUUCAGGGAGGCCAUAGAAUAAAAUCACAUCUCCCCAGCAGAGCCUGCUGAUUGGCAACACACAGUUGGAGGCUACCCCGGAAUAAACCUUUCUUCCAAAG